GCUAUACUGCAGUCGAGCGGACAGAUGGGAGCUUGCUCCCUGAUGUUAGCGGCGGACGGGUGAGUAACACGUGGGUAACCUGCCUGUAAGACUGGGAUAACUCCGGGAAACCGGGGCUAAUACCGGAUGGUUGUUUGAACCGCAUGGUUCAGACAUAAAAGGUGGCUUCGGCUACCACUUACAGAUGGACCCGCGGCGCAUUAGCUAGUUGGUGAGGUAACGGCUCACCAAGGCGACGAUGCGUAGCCGACCUGAGAGGGUGAUCGGCCACACUGGGACUGAGACACGGCCCAGACUCCUACGGGAGGCAGCAGUAGGGAAUCUUCCGCAAUGGACGAAAGUCUGACGGAGCAACGCCGCGUGAGUGAUGAAGGUUUUCGGAUCGUAAAGCUCUGUUGUUAGGGAAGAACAAGUGCCGUUCAAAUAGGGCGGCACCUUGACGGUACCUAACCAGAAAGCCACGGCUAACUACGUGCCAGCAGCCGCGGUAAUACGUAGGUGGCAAGCGUUGUCCGGAAUUAUUGGGCGUAAAGGGCUCGCAGGCGGUUUCUUAAGUCUGAUGUGAAAGCCCCCGGCUCAACCGGGGAGGGUCAUUGGAAACUGGGGAACUUGAGUGCAGAAGAGGAGAGUGGAAUUCCACGUGUAGCGGUGAAAUGCGUAGAGAUGUGGAGGAACACCAGUGGCGAAGGCGACUCUCUGGUCUGUAACUGACGCUGAGGAGCGAAAGCGUGGGGAGCGAACAGGAUUAGAUACCCUGGUAGUCCACGCCGUAAACGAUGAGUGCUAAGUGUUAGGGGGUUUCCGCCCCUUAGUGCUGCAGCUAACGCAUUAAGCACUCCGCCUGGGGAGUACGGUCGCAAGACUGAAACUCAAAGGAAUUGACGGGGGCCCGCACAAGCGGGGAACAUG
rnacentral:rRNA from 1 species